ensembl:lncRNA
AGUUCUCGGAGCCGUCGGUUGAUUGGCUCGUGGAAAGUGGGGGCGUGGUCUCGGGCUUUAACUUGUGGCGCCCGCUCCGAAGCCCAAGAUCAGUUUGGAACGCGGCGCCUGGCUGAACUGUCCCGUGUCCCCCGGACCUUCUAGGAACUCACCUCCAUCCCCAUGGCUUCGCAAGGCGUGGACCCGAGAGGGCUGGGAGAUGAUGAGCUACACUGCCUCCUCAGAGAGCUGGAUGAAGUGAUUGAAGACUUUGAUAAUGGCAGCAGCAGCAGCUGUCACUAUGAGGAACAUCUGGAGGAGCUCAAGCAAAGGAAUGGCCUUGGCCUUGGCGUCUAUGACAGUGGCAUCGAUGAAGCUGAGAGUACCAACCCAUCUCCAGGGAGCAGCUUAAACACCAGCGAGGAAAACAUUCACAUGCCAGCAACUUCUUCCGUUCCCAAAGCUAAGCUUGGAGACACGAAGGACCUGGAGGAUUACAUUGCUGACCUCGACAAAGAGCUGGAGGAAAUGUGAGCCACAGCCCUUGGGCACCUGGUGGAGGCCCCCAAGGAGUACUGCUGUAGCCGUGCCUGCCUGUGUAUACGCCCCAUGGUUCUCUCUUUGUGGCCUUCCUCAGAAGGCCGGAGGCCAAAACCUCAGGGCCAAGGAUCGGACGGGGCCACUCACUGGGAAUCAUCCCCAGGACCUGUUGCUCAAUUAUGUUAUCCGAUAAUGUUGCUGUGUCUGUAGUGCGCUAGCUGUUGUUUAGCCUUUGCCGCAUUCUUGUAGCCAAUAGUGUUAAGGCUGUGUCUGUACUGCUUGGGUCAAUCUGGCUGCCCUGGAAGACAUAGCGCCAAUGUUGGGGUCUAGGAUUUCAUUCCAAGUCUAGAAGUUCCCACCAAUGAUGCAGAUCCACCAUUUACUGCAGCUUCAAGUCUUGGAGAGUCACCUGGAGUGCCGAGAGUUGGUGACUUGUCCAGGAUCCCACAAUUAGUCUGUGCCAGAGGUGGCAUUUGGAGCCUCAGUCCUCCUUGCCCUCUAUCCACUAUGCCACAUUUCUAGCUUCAGUAACUGGACCGAUAGCUUUGUAGUCCUCUUCCUUGGCUGUCUUCUCAACUGCAUUGCCUUGACCCUCCUGAAAACCAAGUGAUGUCUGGCCAAUUAGCUGGUCUGAGCAUCUGUCUCCUAGAGCACUGUAAUGCUAACUUGCUUGCUGCCAGAAGAGGGAACAUUCGCCUGGAGCUUAGCUUUCAUAGUGCCCUCUUAAGGAUGAGCAGGAAUCUCCCAGCCAUGAGCCCAAAUUGUCUUCCCUUAUUAUCUCGAUUUGGCAAAGGUCUAUGAGUUCAUCGACAUGGACCUUCCUUCUUAGUGACCCCUUAUGGACUUCGUGGCUGGGCGGCCAGAGCUAGGCAUUGCCUUCCCCCUGUAGCUAACCUGGUUCUGAGCAGCAUCUCGUGUCCUUAGCCAUGCUGGUCUUUUGACAACAAGCAUCCAGUCAGGGAUGGAGCUCGAGUUUGAUGGUUGGUAGAAGUAGCCCAAGCCUUCAGGAACCCAGAAGCAGCAUCCUGACAGAACCAGGCACCAGAAGCCUUUGCAAAAUCAGGUGCUAUUGGGCCCCAUUGCAAUUUAGAGCCCUUAAAGGCCUUGCUAUCACUUGGGGUCACAGCGUAUUUAGAAAUUGGGGUAAGUGAACAUGAAGCCCUCCCCACUCCCACUUUUUGCCCCUUUGCCCAUGGCCUACGACUGGCCAAGAGGCUCCUGCAGCUCUAUGAUGAGAGAACAGGAAAAGAGUUUUGCAGGGAAGGCAGUAGAACUCUAACCCAACUGGAGGGAAGCGGGGUGAGGUGUUGCGCAGUGAGGGAGCCCUGUGAGAGAGAUCACAGCCUCUAACAGACAAGAUGGCCCCUCCUGAUGGCAGGUAACAGCUUCUGCCUCAGGCACACACACAAGCCACAAGGAGCCUCCCUGAUGUCCCUGAGCCAAGAGCGAGCUGUCGACCGCCAUUUCCUAAAGUCAGGCCUGCCGAUGCUUCUCACUCUCCAUGCCCCUUGGGCACUAGUGUAAAUGUUGUAUGAUACAGUGAAUAUUCCAUAUGAGUUAGCAUACACAAAAUGAAAUAAACGCUUCGUGAAGGAUGAGCCCUCGGACCUU